rnacentral:rRNA from 1 species
AGAGUUUGAUCAUGGCUCAGGACGAACGCUGACGGUGUGCUUUAGACAUGCAAGUCGAACGAGAAAGCCCUUCGGGGUGAGUAAAGUGGCGAACGGGUGAGUAACACGUGGGUAACCUGCCCCUCGCAGAGGGAUAACCGGGGGAAACCCCAGCUAAUACCUCGUACGCUUGCCGGGUCGCAUGGCUCUGGCAAGGAAAGGUAGCUUCGGCCAUCCGGCGAGGGAUGGGCCCGCGGUCCAUUAGCUAGUUGGUGGGGUAAAGGCCCACCAAGGCGACGAUGGAUAGCUGGUCUGAGAGGAUGAUCAGCCACACUGGGACUGAGACACGGCCCAGACUCCUACGGGAGGCAGC